GAGACAGCAGUCGCCACGGGAAUACGUAGGUGGCAAGCGUUGUCCGGAAUUAUUGGGCGUAAAGCGCGCGCAGGCGGAUCGGUCAGUCUGUCUUAAAAGUUCGGGGCUUAACCCCGUGAUGGGAUGGAAACUGCCAAUCUAGAGUAUCGGAGAGGAAAGUGGAAUUCCUAGUGUAGCGGUGAAAUGCGUAGAUAUUAGGAAGAACACCAGUGGCGAAGGCGACUUUCUGGACGAAAACUGACGCUGAGGCGCGAAAGCCAGGGGAGCGAACGGGAUUAGAUACCCGCGUAGUCCCUGUCUCUUAUACA
rnacentral:rRNA from 1 species